rnacentral:rRNA from 1 species
ACUCCUACGGGAGGCAGCAGUGGGGAAUUUUGGACAAUGGGCGAAAGCCUGAUCCAGCAAUGCCGCGUGAGUGAAGAAGGCCUUCGGGUUGUAAAGCUCUUUUGUCAGGGAAGAAACGGUGAAAGCUAAUAUCUUUUGCUAAUGACGGUACCUGAAGAAUAAGCACCGGCUAACUACGUGCCAGCAGCCGCGGUAAUACGUAGGGUGCAAGCGUUAAUCGGAAUUACUGGGCGUAAAGCGUGCGCAGGCGGUUUUGUAAGUCUGAUGUGAAAUCCCCGGGCUCAACCUGGGAAUUGCAUUGGAGACUGAAAGGCUAGAAUCUGGCAGAGGGGGGUAGAAUUCCACGUGUAGCAGUGAAAUGCGUAGAUAUGUGGAGGAACACCGAUGGCGAAGGCAGCCCCCUGGGUCAAGAUUGACGCUCAUGCACGAAAGCGUGGGGAGCAAACAGGAUUAGAUACCCGUGUAGUCCCA